rnacentral:rRNA from 1 species
UGGAAGUAAAAGUCGUAACAAGGUCUCCGUUGGUGAACCAGCGGAGGGAUCAUUACUGAGUUAUCAAAACUCCAAACCCUUUGUGAACCUUACCGUCGUUGCCUCGGCGUGAGCUACGGCUACCCUGUAACUACCCUGGAGCUACCCUAGAGUUACCCUAUAGCUACCCUGCACUUACCCUGCAGCUACCCUAUAGCUACCCUGGAGCUACCCUGGAGCUACCCUGUAGUCGGCUUCGGCCCGCCGAAGGACCGUUAAACUCUUGUUUUUACCACUGUUUCUCUGAACUUUAAACUAAAAUAAGUUAAAACUUUCAACAACGGAUCUCUUGGUUCUGGCAUCGAUGAAGAACGCAGCGAAAUGCGAUAAGUAAUGUGAAUUGCAGAAUUCAGUGAAUCAUCGAAUCUUUGAACGCACAUUGCGCCCACUAGUAUUCUAGUGGGCAUGCCUAUUCGAGCGUCAUUUCGACCCCUAAGCCCCUGUUGCUUAGCGUUGGGAAUCUACGGCGUAGUUCCUCAAAGUUAGUGGCGGAGUUAGGGUACACUCUCAGCGUAGUAAUUUCUCUCGCUCGUGUGGUGGCCCUGGCUGCUAGCCGUUAAAACCCCUAUAUUUUCUAGUGGUUGACCUCGGAUUAGGUAGGAAUACCCGCUGAACUUAAGCAUAUCAAUAAGCGGA